rnacentral:rRNA from 1 species
UGGAUCGGACUUCACUCCAAACCCCUGUG